GACGUCGGAGGCGAGCGUUGUCCGGAUUCAUUGGGCGUAAAGAGCGCGCAGGCGGCUUGGUAAGUCGGAUGUGAAAUCCCGAGGCUCAACCUCGGGUCUGCAUCCGAUACUGCCCGGCUAGAGGUAGGUAGGGGAGAUCGGAAUUCCUGGUGUAGCGGUGAAAUGCGCAGAUAUCAGGAGGAACACCGGUGGCGAAGGCGGAUCUCUGGGCCUUACCUGACGCUCAGGCGCGAAAGCUAGGGGAGCGAACUGG
rnacentral:rRNA from 1 species